GACGAACCGUGCGAACGUUAUUCGGAAUCACUGGGCUUAAAGCGCGUGUAGGCGGGGUGGCACGUCGGUCGCUGAAAGCCCCCGGCUCAACCGGGGAAGGGGCGCCGAUACGACCACCCUGGAGGGACGUAGGGGGACCUGGAACUUCCGGUGGAGCGGUGAAAUGCAUUGAGAUCGGAAAGAACACCAACGGCGAAAGCACUCUGCUGGGCCGACACUGACACUGAGAGACGAAAGGCUAAGGGGA
rnacentral:rRNA from 1 species